GAUGAACGCUGGCGGCGUGCCUAAUACAUGCAAGUCGAGCGAACGGACGAGAAGCUUGCUUCUCUGAUGUUAGCGGCGGACGGGUGAGUAACACGUGGAUAACCUACCUAUAAGACUGGGAUAACUUCGGGAAACCGGAGCUAAUACCGGAUAAUAUUUUGAACCGCAUGGUUCAAAAGUGAAAGACGGUCUUGCUGUCACUUAUAGAUGGAUCCGCGCUGCAUUAGCUAGUUGGUAAGGUAACGGCUUACCAAGGCAACGAUGCAUAGCCGGCCUGAGAGGGUGAUCGGCCACACUGGAACUGAGACACGGUCCAGACUCCUACGGGAGGCAGCAGUAGGGAAUAUUCGGCAAUGGGCGAAAGCCUGACGGAGCAACGCCGCGUGAGUGAUGAAGGUCUUCGGAUCGUAAAACUCUGUUAUUAGGGAAGAACAUAUGUGUAAGUAACUGUGCACAUCUUGACGGUACCUAAUCAGAAAGCCACGGCUAACUACGUG
rnacentral:rRNA from 1 species